GACGAACGCUGGCGGCGUGCCUAAUACAUGCAAGUAGAACGCUGAAGGAAGGAGCUUGCUCUUUCUGGAUGAGUUGCAAACGGGUGAGUAACGCGUAGGUAACCUGCCUGGUAGCGGGGGAUAACUAUUGGAAACGAUAGCUAAUACCGCAUAAAAUUGAUUAUUGCAUGAUAGUCAAUUAAAAGGUGCAACUGCACCACUACCAGAUGGACCUGCGUUGUAUUAGCUAGUUGGUGGGGUAACGGCUCACCAAGGCGACGAUACAUAGCCGACCUGAGAGGGUGAUCGGCCACACUGGGACUGAGACACGGCCCAGACUCCUACGGGAGGCAGCAGUAGGGAAUCUUCGGCAAUGGACGGAAGUCUGACCGAGCAACGCCGCGUGAGUGAAGAAGGUUGUCGGAUCGUAAAGCUCUGUUGUAAGAGAAGAACGAGUGUGAGAGUGGAAAGUUCACACUGUGACGGUAUCUUACCAGAAAGGGACGGCUAACUACGUG
rnacentral:rRNA from 1 species